rnacentral:rRNA from 1 species
UACGAAGGGGGCUAGCGUUGCUCGGAAUCACUGGGCGUAAAGCGCACGUAGGCGGCUUUUUAAGUCAGGGGUGAAAUCCUGGAGCUCAACUCCAGAACUGCCUUUGAUACUGAGAGCUUGAGUCCGGGAGAGGUGAGUGGAACUGCGAGUGUAGAGGUGAAAUUCGUAGAUAUUCGCAAGAACACCAGUGGCGAAGGCGGCUCACUGGCCCGGUACUGACGCUGAGGUGCGAAAGCGUGGG